GGCAUGGUAGCCGAGUGGGUAAAGCGCUUAUAGCUAUUUAAGCAAAUAUCGAUGGUUCGAAUCCAUCCCAGAGUAAGUUA